GUCGUAUAAAGAUGUAUUAACUGCAAGACAAGUUAGCAUUUCCCUUUACGGCAUUGUAAAAAUUUAGAAGUUUAAGCAAAAGUAAUUGUUGCAUGGUAAAUAAUCGAAACAAUUUGAGUUUGAAUGGAAGAGGUUAACUGUAUGACCUUGUGUUGAAAAACACUAAAAACAAUCUUGAAAUAAUGAUUUUCAUUAUUCGAGUUACAGUCCU
rnacentral:sRNA from 12 species